UGAGGAAUAUUGGGCAAUGCCCGAAAGGGUGACCCAGCAACGCCGCGUGGAGGAUGAAUGCCGUAAGGUUGUAAACUCCUGUUAGAGGGGAAGAAAAAUCUCGAUCAAAUCGGGAACUGACUGUACCCUCAGAGAAAGCCCCGGCUAACUACGUGCCAGCAGCCGCGGUAAUACGUAGGGGGCAAGCGUUGUCCGGAUUCACUGGGUGUAAAGGGCGCGCAGGCGGGUUAGCAAGUCAGAGGUGAAAUCCUACAGCUUAACUGUAGAACUGCCUUUGAGACUGCUAAUCUUGAGUACGGAAGAGAGAGAUGGAAUUCCAGGUGUAGUGGUGAAAUACGUAGAUAUCUGGAAGAACACCAGUGGCGAAGGCGGUCUCUUGGUCCUAUACUGACGCUAAGGCGCGAAAGCCAGGGGAGCAAACGGGAUUAGAUACCCUCGUAGUCCCUGAGCGGGCUGGCAAGGCGCAU
rnacentral:rRNA from 1 species